rnacentral:rRNA from 1 species
UACGAAGGGGGCUAGCGUUGCUCGGAAUCACUGGGCGUAAAGCGCACGUAGGCGGAUUGUUAAGUCAGGGGUGAAAUCCCGGAGCUCAACUCCGGAACUGCCUUUGAUACUGGCGAUCUUGAGUCCGGGAGAGGUGAGUGGAACUGCGAGUGUAGAGGUGAAAUUCGUAGAUAUUCGCAAGAGCACCAGUGGCGAAGGCGGCUCACUGGCCCGGUACUGACGCUGAGGUGCGAAAGCGUGGGGAGCAAACAGG